rnacentral:tRNA from 1 species
GAUUAUUUAUCUUUAUCGGUAAAGUAGAUGUUUUGAAAGCAUCAUAAAAGAGUUCGACUCUCUUAAUAAUCU